rnacentral:rRNA from 1 species
UACAGAGGGUGCGAGCGUUAAUCGGAAUUACUGGGCGUAAAGCGCACGUAGGCGGCUUGGUAUGUCGGGUGUGAAAUCCCCGGGCUCAACCUGGGAACUGCAUCCGAAACUGCCUUGCUAGAGUAUGGGAGAGGGAAGUGGAAUUUCCUGUGUAGCGGUGAAAUGCGUAGAUAUAGGAAGGAACACCAGUGGCGAGGGCGACCACCUGGACUGAUACUGACACUGAGGUGCGAAAGCGUGGGGAGCAAACAGG